UAGGGAAUCUUCCACAAUGGACGCAAGUCUGAUGGAGCAACGCCGCGUGAGUGAAGAAGGCUUUCGGGUCGUAAAACUCUGUUAUUGAAGAAGAACGUGCGUGACAGUAACUGGUCAUGCAGUGACGGUAUUCGAUCAGAAAGUCACGGCUAACUACGUGCCAGCAGCCGCGGUAAUACGUAGGUGGCAAGCGUUGUCCGGAUUUAUUGGGCGUAAAGCGAGUGCAGGCGGUCUUUUAAGUCUGAUGUGAAAGCCUUCGGCUUAACCGAAGAAGGGCAUCGGAAACUGGGAGACUUGAGUGCAGAAGAGGAGAGUGGAACUCCAUGUGUAGCGGUGAAAUGCGUAGAUAUAUGGAAGAACACCAGUGGCGAAGGCGGCUCUCUGGUCUGUAACUGACGCUGAGGCUCGAAAGCGUGGGUAGCAAACAGGAUUAGAUACCCUGGUAGUCCACGCCGUAACGAUGAAUACUAAGUG
rnacentral:rRNA from 1 species